AAUUAAUAUUCGGGCGCCAAAAUUGCCAGUUUAUUUCCCAUCCCGCCCGCGACUUAUUCACUCUAGCUUGUACCUCCUCUUCUCCGUGUGGUUUUCAUCUAUCUUUUGGCAACCUGCAACUGAAAUCACUUCCGUUGAAUCCAUACGCAGACACUGCAAUAAUCCUAUUUCCGAAUGCAUCCCAAAGCUACAUCUCUAGCCUCCACUACGUUUUCCUUGUGCAUAGAAGCUUGGUCAUCAUUUCCUUCCAAAACCAAAGCUGUGCCUCCAUCGAAUGUCUUACCCAUUAGGCAUUCACAGUACCCCCUUCAAAUCUUCCACAUUCUGAAUCUAGUACUUCGGCUACCAAAAGUAAAAUUCCCCUUCUGUUGAUUUCAUAUGUACACACGACAAUUGUUGCCAAAAUCACCAUCUGUUGUGAUUUACAGCGGGCUAAUUUCUUGUUGAAGUGUUAGUCAGAAAAAAGGGGUCGAAAGUCCCAAACAUAUUGUGUGUGAAAGGCUUGCUAGUCCAUUCUAAGCCCUCGGUUGGCCAUAAUCCACUAAUCAGUAUCUUUGCUCAGCGUGUGCGAGGGUGGAAGGGUUUGAAGGGCUGUAAGAAGGCAGAGACUGUUUGUCUAAUGAUUCCUCCUUCUCUCAUGUGGUGCUUAUGGAUCGAAAGAAAUAGGAGAUGUUUUGAAGAUAAAGAACGCUCUUUGGAAGAUCUUAGGGAUUUUUUCUUCAGAACUUUGGGUUUUUGGGCGAAGUCUUAUGUAAUGUGUGUAUGCUGGACCAUCGAGUGCUUUUGAUUCAAAAGGUGUUGACUGAGCCUGAGAGAAGAAUUGGUGAGCCAGGAAGAGCCAAGGGUGAGCUGAGCCCUUACUCUGUUGGGUAUUGAAGAUGGACAGAAGUUGGAUGAACAAGCUCGAUAGACUUUUAUCACCUGCAUAUGCCGAAGGGGUUAAAAAUUUCCUCACACAAGUACGAAACCAUGCAAGUAGAUGAGAUCGCAUUCGGUGUCCAUGCAGUACAUGUCUUAACAAUCUGUGGCUUCCUAUAUUUAAGGUUGAAUCUCAUUUGUUUAUUAAAGGGAUCAAUCUAAACUACACCCAGUGGUAGAAGAUGAUUACAUCGAUGACAUAUAGCAUAUGUUGGAUAACGUACGGGCAGGCACCUUUGUUGAUGUGCCCCAAGAAAAUAUUGCUACACCAAAUAGGCCACCAAUACCUGAAGAUUUACCAACAACUACUUUUGACAAACUGCUGGAGGAUGCCUGAUGUCCUCGUUUUGACGAGUGUACAAAAUUUACAAAGUUGUCAUUCAUUGUCAAGUUAUUACACAUCAAAUCAAUCGGUGGAUGGUCAAUUAAGUCAUUUGACGUGCUCCUUGAUUUGUUGACGUCUUCUUUUCCUGAUGCGCUCUUGCCACAAUCGUAUGAGGAAUCAAGGUCUUUGGAGCACUGGUUGGGUUUCAAGUACCACAAAAUCUAUGUGUGCCCCAAUGACUGCAUCUUAUUCUAGAAGGAAAAUGCCGUUCUUAAUGAAUGCCCUGUAUGUAAGGCUUCGAGGUGGAUGCCAAAUGCACACGGCUCACGCAUUAUACCUCAAAAAGUAUUGCACCAUUUUCCAUUGAAACCGAGAUUGCAGCGUCUCUUUAUGUCUGCAAAGAUAGCAGGUGGUAUGAGAUGGCAUAAAGAGCAACAAGCAAUAAAAGAUACUAGUAUGAGACAUCCGACUAACUCUGAGUGUUGGAAGAAAUUUGAUGAACAUCAUAGUUGGUUCGCUAUGGAUCCAAGCAAUGUUAGGCUCGGUCUGGCAUGUGAUGGCUUCACUCCCUUCAACAACUUGGCUAAGCCCCAUAGCAUUUGGCCAGUGAUCCUUGUACAGUAUAACUUGCCGCCGUGGUCAUGCAUGAAAGAUCAAUUCUUUAUGACUUCUUUGAUUAUUCCUAACCCAAAUUCACCAAGAAAUGAGAUCGAUGUUUACCUGCAGCCGUUGCUCGAUGAACUGCUUGAAUUGUGGGAAUAUGGGGUAUCUACAUAUGAUGCCUCAUCUAAGGAGAUGUUUAUGUUGCAUGCUACAUUAUUGUGGAAAAUCAAUGACUUCCCUGCCUACGGGAAUAUCUCUAGCUGGUCAACAAAGGGAAAAUUAGCUUGUCCGUCUUGCAAUGCCAACACAAACUACAAUUGGUUGAAAUAUGGCCGAAAACAUUGUUAUAUGAGACACCGACGUUUCUUACCGCUAAAUCAAAUAUGGAGAAAGAGGAAAUGAUUGUUCAACAGUAAAGAAGAUCAUCGUAUGCUGCCAAGAGAUUUAGAAGGAAUUGAUAUUCUAACUCAAUUGCAAAUGAUUGGGGAUGUUCAGUUUGGCAAAUCUCAUAGGAAGAGAAAAUGUAUUGCUGAAGAGCUGAACUGGACAAAGUGUAGCAUAUUCUUCCAGUUACCUUAUUGGUCAACACUUCAACUUCAUCAUAAUUUAGAUGUUAUGCAUAUUGAGAAGAAUAUUACCGAAAACAUAUUAUUCACUUUAAUGAACACUUCAGGAAAAACUAAAUAUAAUAUCAAUUCAAGGUGUGACUUGGAGAUAUUGGGCUAUAGAAAAGAAUUACAUUUGAGGCGUGAGGGUGACCAUGUAACAAUGCCACAUGCACUGUACACAUCACACAAAGAUGAAAGGCAUAAAUUUUGUGAGUGGCUGUCCAAUAUCAAAUUUCCUUAUGGGUUCUCUUCCAAUAUCUCGAAUUAUAUUUCUCUACAUGAUUGCAAAAUCGCCAGGUUAAAAGCCAUGAUUAUCAUGUUUUCCUUCAAAGACUACUCCCAAUUGCUGCUAGGGUAUUUAUAAGAAGUGACAUUGCCUUGACUUUGACUAAACUUAGCACGUUCUUCAAAGAGUUGUGCGCUCGAAAGCUAGAUGUGAAUCUCCUAUCCCAGCUCCAAACUAAUAUCGUCACCAUUCUAUGCAAACUGGAGAUGAUAUUCCCUCUCUCAUUUUUCGAUAUCACGGUCCACCUAGCUGUCCAUUUGCCUCGUGAAGCCAUACUUGGGGGUCCAGUAUAAUAUAGAUGGAUGUACCCAUUUGAGAGAUACUUAGGAAAAUUCAAACGGUAUGUUAAGAAUAAAGCCCGACUAGAAGGUUCAAUAGCCGAGACUUACAUUCACACUGAAUGCCUGACUUUUUGCUCUAUAUACCUCAAAGAUGUUGAGACGAAGUUCCAUCGAGCGGACAGCAACGUUGAUGUUGACGAAGAGGAGACUAUAGAUGGAUUCAGAAUUUUCAACUAUAAAGUUCUUCCCUUAGGUUCAGCUUCUAAUAUGCAAUUAGAAGAUAAACUAUUUAAGGUAGCCAUUUGGUAUGUGCUCAACAAUUGUCAGGAGAUUGGACCAUAUAUACAGAAACACUACGAGAAAUGUAAGGUGCAACACCCAAAUUGCAUCGAUCGCAUGCAUCAAACUGACUUUCCAACUUGGUUCAAGCAUUGUAUGUGUAUAGUGAGAAGAAUAUUCAGAUGAAGAGGACCUAUUAACAGAUGAAGAGUCUGUGUUAGAUUUAUAAUUACAAGCCAAAAACUUCGUCUAAUUAAGGUGAGGGUAAAACAAUACUGUGUUGCUUUAUUGUAGUCGCUACACAGACAAAUUUGGGAGGGGAUUUGCUUUGUCCGAUAUCGAUAUAAUCCCUUCUUCAAGCUGGAGGCAUGAGCGGCACUAAUAAUUAUCAAGGUGACCGAGCGGGACCCAGUACUAGGGGUGGAGGGAGACUCUGGGGUUUUCAUGCAAGGUGGCAUGUACCGUACUCGACUUGCCAUAACCGUACUCGGGGAGCGAAAAUCUCCUCAUAUCACAGUCCUAAGGAGUGUAAUCAAUCCUCCUCGGAUGACUCUACACAUCCUCCAAGCCCUCCACCAUCCACCAACCCAAUUCACACGCCAGCGCCUAUUCAAGAACCCUCACCAAUGCGGGCACAAUCACCUAUUAGAGAACACGCAAAAAUGGAAGACCCCAGUGUACCACAAACUGAGCGGACGCCCCCAUGGAGCCCGUAGUAGCGCAGGAACAAAGAAAACGAUCUCAUGGGCCCGCUCGAUGCAUUGAGUUUGACAAGGUGAGGAAGCACGAGAAAGUGCUUUUAAAGAUAAACAAGGGUGAGAUUGCACUGUGUUGUGAGCACACUUCUAUGUUCACGAAACGAGUAUCAUGGAUUGUUAAACAAUAUUGUGACAUGAGUUAUGCACGAUGGACGGAUGUUCCGCAAGCCAUGAAAGAGGAGCUCAUUGACCGUAUUUAGUCUGACUUUGUGUUCGACUGGAAACGCGAAAACCACCGAUUGACGGUGACAAAGGCACUUCGUAAGCGCUUCAACUCAUUCCAUCAUGACUUGCACAAGAUUUAUGAAUCAUUUGGAAGCCAUGAAGAAGCUUUAGCUAAUGGGACAAGCUUGGUGGACCCCCUUGUAUGGGUAAAGUUGUGUGGUAGAUGGGGCAGUGAUAUUUUUAAGGUAUAUAUGCUCUUUCUCAAAGUAAUGCCAUAUUAAAUUCUUCCAUUUAAUAUGACUAAAUAUUAUUGUAGCAAAUGCAGUUGUUUAUUAUAGCUAACAUUGGGUGUGCAUGGCAAAAAAUUUCUUCUCAAAACUGGGAGAAUAGAAAGAAGCAGGCAAUUAAUCACAUAUCAGGACGUAAAUCAUUCGUCCGAAUACUUGAGCAAAAGGUUUCAGGAUGCCUCCCAAUUGAUUUUCAUUUCAAUAGACUUUUCCAACUUCUGAAUUCAUUAGCACAUAAAAUACUGUCCUUUAUGUCGUGAAAUUAUAUUAGAAAAUUGUGAUAUUAUUACCUUACUGUUGGGUACUGGUUACUUUCAAUAAACUUGGGCUUAAAAUACACAUGUCAAAUUUUAUAAACUUUUCCUACCCUCAAAAUAUUCUUAUACGUUUUUUGAACACAUAUAGCGCACUGAGAAUGGAAAUUUGGUUGACUUCUAUAAAGAGACGCGCUGGUCGAAGAAGAAGAACAAGUUUGUGACAGAUGUUACAGAAGAUACUUACGUGAGUUGUACACUUACAGUUCCAGUGAUCUAUGUUUCUUUCUAAUAAUAAUAAAUGCAUACAUAGCACAUGCCACGAUUGUUAAUAAUCGUUAUUUUGUCAAUGUCCAGAAGGAGAUGAAAGGUAGGUUGGAUGGCCUAGAACCAGAGCAACGUAAUGAUGAGGUAGCAGCAACUAUCUUUAGGGAGAUCCUUGGCCAUCGACCUGGAUAUGCGCUAGGAUUCGGGGAGAUGGUCAUCCCCGAGUCAAGUAGACAAUGUGACCAAGUUAAAAUGCAAUGCUACAUGUCUGAGAUUGAAAGACACAAGAAAGAUGCUAAACAACAUAAGAAAUAUGCUAAAGAGUAUAAGAGUCAUCUGGAUGAAAUGAUAUCAAAGAUGCGGGCUCUUAGGGAGCAUCAGAUUCAGACUGAUAGAUUGCUUUAGGCAUUCUUUAAGGAUCAUCUGUCAUUCACUGAGUCAUAUCGACAGACUCAGUGUAACGAUUCUCCCAACCCAUAAGAGGGUUGUGGGGCUUUUUGGCAUUUUGGGUGUUUUUUUUAUAGUAAAAAAGAUAACUGGGCAAUAUACAUAUAUCUAUAUAUAUAGAUAUUACUAUAUCUAUAUAAAGGGAUCUAUGUCAACACUGGGGGGAAUCAUUAUUUUGAUGGUCACAAGUAGGAGUUAAUGAAGAUUGUAAGAAACCACAAUGAGUACAGAACUCAAACUCAAUGUAAGUUUCUUAUGGCUGGAAAAUAUUUCUCUUCUAGGUACAACUAUUUGGUAGGUAGGUCAUACAUUAUGCGGGCUAACAUUGACAUAACACGUAAUGUACUUGUAUUGAAAGGAAUUUUCUUGGAGAAGACAUUGGACCAUCAUGCUAGUGUUCACAAGUUGGUGCAAAACCUUGAGAAGCAGUUGAAGGAGCUUUGCAACUGACACGGCAUGGAGAAGGUCUCUCUCUCUCUCUCUCUCGCUCUCUCUCUCUAUCUCAAGAAGUAUAUUCAACCUUCAUUUAUCCAUCUAUAUUAAUAGGUGGUUGUCGAUAUACCGAGUUUAAACUGAAGAUUAAUAUGAUAGUGUGUGUGUGAGGGUCAUUACAGAUAUCAAUCCCCUAUCUGUCAAUAUUUGUGUAUUAACUUUUUGAUUAAGACAAUAUUCUAGUAUUAACUAUGUAUCAGAUUAAUAAUUUUCUCUAUAACAAAACCCGAAGAUGAGUUGAAAGGUGCAUCUUCCUACCAUAGAUCUAAUAAUUUUUUUCAAAAUUUAUAAAGUAUCGUUUGGGUGGAGGGGCUAGUUUAUAUGGAUCCUUACAUAGCAAUAGCCUUAUGUGUUGUAGAUUCAAGUGAAUUUUUUUUAUUAUGUUUUCGUGUGUACAGGUUGAUAUGGAGAGGUUUAUCGUGCGCUUUUUGAAUGGCGGCACUGUGAGUUGUGCAUUUUAUCUCUGUUGAACAUGUUGUUGCUUCCCAGAUUUGGCUUCAUUAUUUCUCUUUCUUUUUUUUUCUUUUUUUUCAGAAACUACAAAAUUAAUGUUGUUGUCAAUUUGUCAACUGAGAAAAAUAUUAGCUCAUAGUGUUAUUAGUUAUGUUUAAUGUUUAACCUUUAGCAUCAGACCUUUUUGAAAACUGCAAUGGAGAACUAAUAAAAAAUUGGUUGGUCUGGUAUAUUUUGAACCACAGUAGGUUGCUGUGAAUAAGUUCUUAGAUCAAGACUUCUCAGGUGUGGCUAAGAUUUUACCGUUUUCAGAGUUAGUUUUUUUUAAGUAAAUUCAUAUUGUGAGUCGCAUCAAAACUACUUAUGUCUAACCUCCGUGUAAAUGCUUGAAUUGACAAUGAUGUUCUCUCUCGUGUCAUAAAUUGUGUUUUGCCAAGUUGUAUAUGUGUGAGGGAAGCUUAUAUUGCAUUAAUAAUCGUCCUUAUUAUUAGUAUUGAGGAGAAGCGCAGAAUAAAAAUGGCCGUUGAAUGUGGUAACAUCUGAUCUCAUAUUCUGUUUAAACCAAACCUGAAUCCACCCCCUUAAUCUUUUAGGCUAUUGUCAUCUUGCAGUCAUCCACAUCAUGAAUUGGAUAAAUACCAGCCUAAUUAUCAAUUGUUUCUACAUCUUUGAAGUCACGCAUCGAUUGGUUGAUAAGGCCAGGAUUGUGAAGGUUAGCCAAUUGAUUAGUAGCAAUUGAGUUUCUAAAUGAGUUUCACAUAUCACUCAAACUAUCUUCCAAAAAUUAUGACCUGGCCUAAAUUGGUUGUUUCCGCCAUUUAUUUCCCUAAGCUGAAUCUAGCAGGAUGAAUUCCUAUGUAGUUGCUACAUUUAAGUCAUAUAGCGUAUGUUGAUUUCUUUACCACCAACAUAUUUUUACUGCCAACAUAUUGACCCAACACAAUAUGUUGGUAAUGGGAAGUGAUAAACCUAUAAUGCCAUACAUAUGUUUACUGCAACUCGCUGACGAGCUGUACUGUUGCUAAUGUACUGUGAUAUUAAGUAUCAUAGUAAACAUAGAAUCAUAGUAACUUCGGACUCACCGUGGCUCACUGACAAAAGGUCUCAGCGAGUUUGUGGGAACUGAGUGCUAAAUGUAAACAGGCUUUUUUCAGGGUAUUCUCUGACCAUGAACUCCGUAUAAAGUGCUUGACCUGAACUAUCUAGAGGUUAGUAGUCAAUAUCAAAAUCUGGGCCUGAUUUUGGAUCAGGGAGCAGGUAGGUCAUACAUGAAUCCAACCUAUUUUGACCUUAGUGAAAUACAAUCUAACUGCUGGAGAUGUAAAAGCGUUGUGAUUUUUUACAUGUAUGCAACAUGGCAUGGUUUUGCAUGCACAAUCUACUUAACCCCCUCUCUCUUCUCUGUUAUAAACUACUAUAAAUGUAGAAAAAAUAGUAGUUCCAUGUAAUUUAGAAAUGAUAAUCAAAGAACUUCAAAAAUCCGUAGAUUGAUGUUAUCACACGGAUUUUCUCUAGGUGCAGCAUUAAUGGUGUCGCAGCAGGUUCU